UUGGAGCCCAGCAAAACCCUCCACACAGCGCUCAGUGCGUACAGACCGUGAACCGCGACCUCCGCACAGGUGGUCGCUCCCGUCUCCGCGGAAAUGUUGUCCAAAGUUCUUCCAGUCCUCCUAGGCAUCUUAUUGAUCCUUCAGUCGAGGUGAGUCUCCAUCCCGGGACCCGGGAGCCCUUCGCGCCCAGCCCCCUCUCCCUGGGAGCAGGGACGGCUCCUGGGAUCCCUGCGGCCCCGCGUUCCUCGAGCCCCGCGCCCGCCUUGCCCCGGCCCUAGCGCGGGCUGGCUGAGUACUGCGUGCCCUCGAUGCGCGCCAGCCUCCGCCCGGUUCACUGUAGGAUGGAUUCCCGGGGUCCUUGAAGGGGAUCUCCAAAAGGAAGACGGGACCCCCGUUCUCGGAUUCCCGCUCUCAGAAGCACUGCGAUGGCCUGGUGACAAGCACUCCUUCUAGGAGUCUUGCGCAGGAACAGGGGAGCAGCCCCGGGGGGGACCGGCCAGGGCAGGCUUCAGCUACUAGGGGGUCGGGGGUGCAUUUCGAGAAGGCGGUGCGCGGGCUGAGGGAGCUUAACUGCGCCAAAAAUGUGUAAGUGUUGCCUCGUCUGUUCUCUGCUGCUCACAUUUUUUUAAGAGUGCCUACUGAGUUCCAGGCACUGCGCCAGGCAACUCUGACUUUCCUUGCUUCCCAUGCCGCUGCUCCUGUUGGUGCCAGUCUCAGGCAGGAGCUUUGGUUUAGUCUAAGGGCUCCCGCACCAGCUAUACCCCUCCCCACUGCUGACAGCCUCCCCCUUCCUUAACUCAUCCCUAGACACCCUGCUGGGCCUUGGGUAGACUGGAGCCAGAGGCCAGGAAUAUUAUUCUCUGAAGUCUGUGGUUUGGGUCCUAGAUUUCAAUCCCCUUCUCCCUUUUCAGCUUUCCCUUGAACAACCAUCUUCCCUCACACCUUCUCCUCGCCCUGAGACUUGGCUAGGAAGGUUGUCCCCUAGAUUUCUCGCUUUUUGGGGUGGAAGAUGACUGCUUCGUUUUGUUGUUGUUGUUGUUGUUGUUGUUGUUGUUGUUGUUGUUUUGAGAUGGUUCCUGCUGGGUGUGAAGUGUCACAAGUUUGCAAGCUUCCUGAUCUGUGGAGCUUUCUUGAAGUUUCCAUGGCACUGGGCUUGUGUCUUGUUUAUCUGUUGUGGGGAGCGGGGGUGACUUCUUUCCCUACCCGAGAUUGCGUUAGCUCUUCAGAGAAGGGGAUGUGUGGCUCCCUGCUGGCUCACUGAUGCCCUGGAGUGGGGCUAGCCUCAGCAAGGGCUUGGUAAAUGUUUUUCUAUGCGUGCUAGCAAUUUCCAGUCAUCCACAUCCCUCCAAAUGGAAUUUGGACUAGUUGAGAAAGCUGACAUGGUGACUGGCUAGGGCAAAAGAUGGCUCUGGGAUGGGGGAAAUAAGAAGUGGGGGGGGGGUCAGAGAGGAAAACAGCAGGGAAAGGGGGCUGGGGAAAUGGAAACUACUCUUCAAGCAUAGCAACCUGUGGUGCUAGGAAAGAGCUGGGGAGGUGACAAUGGGGUGUACUGGGCCACAGUGAACCACAAGACCUCUCUCUGGUCCAGGCUUAGCCUCAAAUUAUUUGUGUGACUUGGGGCACAGUCCUUCCUCUCUCUGGGCCUCACUUGGUUCAUCUGUAUAAUGAAAAAGAGAUCUGAUUUAGAUAAAAAUCCAACAUCUUUUCUUAUGCCCCCCACCCCCACCCCACUUCUCACGACACCAGCAGUCGACUGUUUGGGAGGGGGUAGUGCAGAGAUUCAACUUCAUGCUGGACCAUUGUGUCUGGAGACAUGUGAAUGCCUGAAAAACUCCCCUGGAAAAUUCCACUAUUCCAAUGUAUGAGUGUUUUUCAAGUUUUUAUUCUUUCUAGCCCCGAAAGUGAGCUUAAUGGCUGACUGGGGAAAGGUAUGCAUUGUCAGCAGCUCUUUAACCCCAAAGACCUCAGGAUGAGGUUUUAUUUUGUUUGUUUGUUUGUUUUUAACUGGCAAAAGCCAAUUUUAGGAUUAAAGCCACCUUAUGACCCUCUGCUAUCAUUUUCAUUGCAGACCUAGUCUAGGGGCAGGAGGGAUUUGGUGGUCUCGGUGCUUUCGGGUUUAUCUGUUUGCCUCUGCACUUUUAAACAUGGGGCAGCUGGGAGGAUCUUGUCCAUGGAUUUCAGACAUCUGGGAGGGGCUGCUUCAGGCUUUUAGGUGGUCCUGUCUGGCAGUGCUCAGUCUACCACUGCUGCCGGUUCUGAUUGUGCCAUGUUUCCAGCCACAUCACUUAUUUUGCAGGGUCUCAGGUCUCCAUUUUCCCUCCUCACUUCCCAUAGUCACUGGCCCUUAUCUUUUGAGAUGGCUGGGAAUUUGGCCUCAGGAAAAGAAGACAUCUUCUAAAUAUGGCAUUUGAAAGUAGAAACUGUAUUUUCGAAGUCCAGUUCUUCCCCAGCCCACAAUGGGAAGUAGCCACUUCAGACAUGAGAAAUGGUGUGGAUUUGGCACAUCUGUAUGCCACUUAAGCAAUUCUAACAGCUUGAAAUACUGCAGAAAAAUGCAUUUUGCUGCCCAAGUUGGCAGUCCCUUGGUCUGCAAUACAGGGAUCAUGCCAAUGUCUCUUGCCCUGUUUACCCCUUAUUUUAGGAAACAAAUUGCCUUAUGGCUUAAAAAAAAACAUUUUGGAAGUAUGACAUGCCAGUAUAAAAGCAUAGACAUCAUGAGUGAACAGCUCAGUGGAUUUUCACAAAGUAAACAGACCCAUGUAACCAACACCUAGAUCAGGAAAUACAGCAUUGCAAUCCCCUUACCACACACACACACACACACACACACAUCUCCAAAAUGCUUGUCCCUGUACACUUUCCUCCCCAAAGGAAACCACUCUCCUGCCUUUCAAUAUCACAGAUUAAUAUGGGAUGAUGGCUUUUUAAAAGACUUUUAAUUAUAUAUUUUUUAAAGACAUAUAAAGGCAGAGGGAACAGUACACGGAAUCUCCAUGUAGCCAUCCCCACCCCCAUUGUUUGUGAAUUCAUGGCCACUCUUAUUUUCUUUUACCCCACCCACUCUCCAAUUCCGACUUAGAUUGUCUUGAAGCAUAUCUCAGACAUCAUAUCAUUUUAUAUGUAAUUGUUUUAGUAUGUAUUUCUAGUCAUUAAAGAUUUCACAAGCAUAAGAAAAUACCAUAAUUACACCAAAAAUUUAAGAAUAAUUUAUUCAUGCCUCAACUAUCCGCUCAGUGUUCAAAUCUCUCCUGUUAUGUCAUAAAUGAUUUCUGUUUGUUUUUUAAGAGUUUGCUUUUAAAUAAAAUGAGAUCCAGAUAUUAGCAGGUGGGGCAUUUUGAUUUUUUACAACACGUUUUUAUGGAAUUAGAACAUGUAUACAGAAAAGUGCUCAAAUCAUAAGUGUACAGUUGAUGAGUUGUCAGAAUAUGACCACAGCGGUGUAAAGAAAGCCAAAUCAAGAACCCGAACGUGAGCAGGACCUCAGAAGCCCCCUUUGUCACUGCCUCCCAGCAAAGGCAGCACUAUCCGGACUUCUAACACCAUCGGGUCGAGGGACCUCAGACUGAAUCAAAGAAUGAAGCCUCUGCCCAUGAUGUCAUCUAUGGACCCCCGCCCCAGCCUCUGGAAAAUAAGCUCUUCUCUGAGGAAACAAAGUCAACUAAGACCGAGACUGGGCGCAGAGCUGGUAAACUGCCAGAAGCCUCUCGCAUCCUGAACACUAUCCUGAGUAAUUAUGACCACAAACUGCGCCCUGGCCUUGGAGAGAAGCCCACUGUGGUCACUGUUGAGAUCUCCGUCAACAGCCUUGGUCCUCUCUCUAUCCUGGACAUGGAAUACACCAUUGACAUCAUCUUCUCCCAGACCUGGUACGACGAACGCCUCUGUUACAACGACACCUUUGAGUCUCUUGUUUUGAACGGCAAUGUGGUGAGCCAGCUGUGGAUCCCGGACACCUUUUUUAGGAAUUCUAAGAGGACUCACGAGCAUGAGAUCACCAUGCCCAACCAGAUGGUCCGCAUAUACAAGGAUGGCAAGGUGUUGUACACAAUUAGGAUGACCAUUGAUGCUGGAUGCUCACUCCACAUGCUCAGAUUUCCAAUGGAUUCUCACUCUUGCCCUCUAUCUUUCUCUAGCUAAUGAACCUCAAGGCCAUUCAUGGACUGGACCCUGCCGCCCAAUCCUGUGCACCUCAUCCUCUGUGAGCUAGCCAUCCUGAACUUUUGGCCUUUCCACAAUACACCAGGUGGUUCACCUUUCUAUGCUGCCCCUUAACACCUCCAAACUCAUUCUUAUUGAGAAUAUUUACUUGAGUUUCAAGAUUUAAUGGGAGUAUCACCUGCCUUGUGAAGUCUUUUCUGCAUAUGUCCCCAAGUGAUCUUUAUCUACUUUGUUUCCCCACUGUUCCGUGGACAUAGGUUUUUCAGAGCUCCUCCAAAAAUCACAGUAGUAUACUCACUGUCUUAUAAAAUUAAAUGUGAUUGCUUAAGGGUAGGGUUCAUGCCUUGCUCAUCUCUGUAUUUCCAGCCCAGGGCCUGAUACUGAGGAAUGCUCAGUAAACACAUUCAUUGAAUGGACUUCAACAAUGAGGUAGGAGAGGCAAGGUCCCACAGCUGGCAAGGCCAGAAACAGGACUCCGAGGCAUUGUGCAGGCUGACUCCAUGCUAUUGGAGACCU